rnacentral:rRNA from 1 species
AUUGAACGCUGGCGGCAUGCCUUACACAUGCAAGUCGAACGGUAACGGGCCUUCGGGUGCCGACGAGUGGCGAACGGGUGAGUAAUGCAUCGGAACGUACCUUUCAGUGGGGGAUAACGUAGCGAAAGUUACGCUAAUACCGCAUAUUCUGUGAGCAGGAAAGCAGGGGAUCGCAAGACCUUGCGCUGAUUGAGCGGCCGAUGUCAGAUUAGCUAGUUGGUGGGGUAAAGGCCCACCAAGGCGACGAUCCGUAGCGGGUCUGAGAGGAUGAUCCGCCACACUGGAACUGAGACACGGUCCAGACUCCUACGGGAGGCAGCAGUGGGGAAUUUUGGACAAUGGGCGCAAGCCUGAUCCAGCCAUGCCGCGUGAGUGAAGAAGGCCU